CUAUUCCAUCUCUCUCUCCCAACAUUCUGCACAAAUUGUUCCACAUCAAAACCCUAAUUCACUCGCCGCAGCUGAAAAUUUCCACUAGGAUAUGUGGACAUUCCUCAAACAAGGGUUUAUAGGGAAAAUGAAGGAGUCUAAAGGAGGCAUCUUAGAAGAUACGAUUCGUAUAUUGCCCGGCGUUCUUUAUACAGCACUUAUGUUUGAAUUAAUCGACCGUCAGGAAAAGGAAAAAAAAGAGGCCGAAGAUUUAAUCAAGAAAGAGGGCAAACAAAAGCAUUCCAAGGAGAUCAAGAAAAACUAAAUCGAUUUAGUGUUUCGUUGUCAGUUCUUGUUGUUUAAGGGAGCUUCAUUAAUGAUUUAAAUAGAAUUCCUUGGAUUUAUGUUUAAUUUGUUGUUUUUGGAGUUGAAGCAUCCAAUAAUUAGCUAUAAAUGUGGUUCAUUGACAUAAA